GGCCCGUUGGUCAAGCGGUUAAGACCCCGCCCUUUCACGGCGGUAACACGGGUUCGAGUCCCGUACGGGUCA
rnacentral:tRNA from 1 species